UACGUAGGGUGCGAGCGUUGUCCGGAAUUAUUGGGCGUAAAGAGCUUGUAGGCGGUUUGUCGCGUCUGCUGUGAAAAUCCGGGGCUCAACCCCGGACUGCGGUGGGUACGGGCAGACUAGAGUGUGGUAGGGGAGACUGGAAUUCCUGGUGUAGCGGUGAAAUGCGCAGAUAUCAGGAGGAACACCGAUGGCGAAGGCAGGUCUCUGGGCCACUACUGACGCUGAGAAGCGAAAGCGUGGGGGAGCGAACAGG
rnacentral:rRNA from 1 species